rfam:Alkaliphilus metalliredigens QYMF, complete genome.
AAGAGCCGGAUGAGGGGAGACUUUCAAGUCCGGUUCUGUGAGAAGCUAGGGGUGAAACUCCCUUGGUUUACUCGAC